rnacentral:rRNA from 1 species
UGAAUACGAGAUGCUACGGCGUCGAAGCAGUCUAUGUCAUACUUCCAAGAAAAGCUUGCACUGUCAUAAACAAAUAAUGCCUGUACCAUAACCGACACAGGUGGGUAGGUAGAGUAUACUAAGGGGCGCGAGAUAACUCUCUCUAAGGAACUCGGCAAAAUGACUCCGUAACUUCGGGAGAAGGAGUGCCUUAUUUAUAAGGUUGCAAUAACAAGAUCCAAGCAACUGUUUACCAAAAACACAGGUCUCCGCUAAGUCGUAAGACGAUGUAUGGGGGCUGACGCCUGCCCAGUGCCAGAAGGUUAAAGAAGUUGGUUAGCAUCCGCGAAGCUGAUAACUGAAGCCCUGGUGAACGGCGGCCGUAACAAUAACGGUCCUAAGGUAGCGAAAUUCCUUGUCGGGUAAGUUCCGACCCGCACGAAAGGCGUAAUGAUUUGGAUACUGUCUCGGAGAGGGGCUCGGUGAAAUAGACUUGUCUGUGAAGAUGCGGACUACCUGCACCAGGACAGAAAGACCCUAUGAAGCUUUACUGUAACCUGAAAUUGAAAUUGGACUUUACUUGCGCAGUAUAGGUGGUAGGCGUUGAGAAUAUUCUUGCGGGAUUAUUGGAGCCAUCAGUGAGAUACCACUCUUGUAAUGUUAGAUUUCUAACUUUGUAUCAUUAUCUGGUCAAAGAACAGUUUCAGGCGGGCAGUUUGACUGGGGCGGUCGCCUCCUAAACGGUAACGGAGGCGCACAAAGGUUUCCUCUGAACGGGUAGAAAUCGUAUCUAGAGUGUAAAGGCAUAAGGAAGCUUGACUGUGAGACCUACAAGUCGAGCAGGGACGAAAGUCGGUCUUAGUGAUCUGACGGUGCUGAGUGGAAAGGCCGUCACUCAACGGAUAAAAGUUACUCUAAGGAUAACAGGCUGAUCUCCCCCAAGAGUUCACAUCGACGGGGAGGUUUGGCACCUCGAUGUCGGCUCAUCGCAUCCUGGGGCGGUAGUACGUCCCAAGGGUUGGGCUGUUCGCCCAUGAAAGCGGUACGCGAGCUGGGUUCAGAACGUCGUGAGACAGUUCGGUCCAUAUCCGGUGUAGGCGUUAGAAUAUUGAGAGGAGCCUUCUUUAGUACGAGAGGACCGAGAAGGACAUACCUCUGGUGUACCAGUUAUCGUGCCAACGGUAAACGCUGGGUAGCUAUGUGUGGAGUGGAUAACCGCUGAAAGCAUCUAAGUGGGAAGCCCACCUCAAGAUAAGUAUUCUC